AAUAAAUUAGAAUGAAUCUCUAGAAUAUACUUUAGCAUACUGAAAAAUAUAAGAUUCUCAAAAUUAGUUUAAAAUAUUAAUAUUUCAUUUUUAUAAAUAGACAUUUAGAUAAUAAUCAAUGUCCAAAUUUAAUGUUGAUAUCAAGUUUUAUUUUGAGAGGGGUGCAUUUUCCAUGGAAAGUGAUGGACUCGAUUAAUGUGGGGAUCCACAUAUAUGUUCCCUUUUUAAAUUAUGAGAUUUUUCUUCAACUCAUCUUGGUGGUAAGGUGGUGAUUUAUCUAUUCUUAAUGUUAAUGCAAUAUUUAUUUUGUCAAGAUAAAAGAUAUUGUAAUAAGAUUCAAUUAUCUAUUAAUUACACGAGAAAUAUGUC
rnacentral:lncRNA from 1 species